rnacentral:rRNA from 1 species
AGAUUGAACGCUGGCGGCAGGCCUAACACAUGCAAGUCGAGCGGUAGAGAGGUGCUUACACCUCUUGAGAGCGGCGGACGGGUGAGUAAAGCCUAGGAAUCUGCCUGGUAGUGGGGGAUAACGCUCGGAAACGGACGCUAAUACCGCAUACGUCCUACGGGAGAAAGCGGGGGACCUUCGGGCCUCGCGCCAUUAGAUGAGCCUAGGUCGGAUUAGCUAGUUGGUGAGGUAAUGGCUCACCAAGGCGACGAUCCGUAACUGGUCUGAGAGGAUGAUCAGUCACACUGGAACUGAGACACGGUCCAGACUCCUACGGGAGCAGCAGUGGGGAAUAGUUGGACAAGUGGGACGAAAGGCCUGGAUCCAGCCAUGCCGCGUGUGUGAAGAAGGUCUCGGAUUGUAAAGCUACUUUAAGUUGGAGGUAAGGUUGUAACUUAAGUACGUUGACUAACGUUUGAACGUUACCGACAGAAUAAGACACGGACUAACUUCGUGCCAGCAGCCGA